UGCGAGCCAACAACUUCUUUGGGGUCAAGAUAACCCACCUUAACAAACUUCUCAAGAUAAGCGUCAUUGACUUUGGUUGGCAGCCAAUCGCACUUCGGGAUAGUGCCCAUAACUACAAAGGGAAGGAACAGGGCAGAUUAUCAAAAACCACGGAGUGGUAACUCGCCAGUUGAAUGAUCUAUGGCAUCUCUACAGGGAUAUUACGACUCGUCAGUUAAAGGAUCUAUGGUAUCUCUACAGGGAUAUUACGACUCGCCAACUAAAAUGGUCAAUGAUAUAUCUAUGGGAAUGUUCUAACUCGCCAUGGUGAAAGGAGACGGGUUGCGGCUCUAAAAAAAGGGUUUUUCCUUAGGAACAUUCUCGACUGGAGACAAACAUGUUUCUAACAUCAAAUGACAAUUCAUGGAUCUACAAGUGUUUCCAGUAAAGAAAUAUAAACGCUGACUGAGGGGUCGAACACUACAAGAACACGGAAGAACACUAUGAAAAAUGUUGUGCAGAUCUAUGGGCUACGGAGAAACAACGGAUUGGUACGAUGCGUAACAAGAACUACCGCAAUCAUUAUUUCACGGGUCUACGGUACCGCAUCUAGAUUAGGCGAGAAGCAAGAACAUGAGGCAUGCAUGGCAUUCAUGGAGUUCUACGGUACCGCAUCUAGUUCGGAUCUGUUUCUACUGAGAAAAGGGAGAUUUACCUGAAGGGGAAGAUACAGGCG
rnacentral:lncRNA from 1 species